UGCUGAUGAUGUGGACAGUCCUGACAAAAAGUAUUGAACCACUCCCAAGCAUGAUAUAAAUUCUCAUCUGGCUUCUGUUUAAAACACACAAUCUCACUGCACAGUCU
rnacentral:snoRNA from 1 species